rnacentral:rRNA from 1 species
GGAAUAUUGGUCAAUGGGCGAGAGCCUGCACCAGCCAUGCCGCGUGCAGGAAGACGGCCUUCUGGGUUGUAAACUGCUUUUAUCAAGGAAGAAACAGGCCCUGCGGGGCAAAUUGACUGUCUUUGGUGAAUACGCACCGGCUACCUACGUGCCAGCAGCCGCGGUAAUACGUAGGGUGCAAGCGUUGUCCGGAUUUAUUGGGUUUAAAGGGUGCGUAGGCGGCCCUAUAAGUCAGUGGUGAAAUCCUGCAGCUCAACUGUAGAUGUGCCAUUGAUACUGUAGGGCUUGUGUACAGACGAGGUAGGCGGAAUUUAUGGUGUAGCGGUGAAAUGCAUAGAUACCAUAAAGAACACCGAUAGAGAAGUCAGCUUACUAGGCUGUAACUGACGCUGAGGCACGAAAGCGUGGGGAUCGAAC